rnacentral:rRNA from 1 species
AGAGUUUGAUCCUGGCUCAGGACGAACGCUGGCGGCGUGCCUAAUACAUGCAAGUCGAACGCUUCUUUCCUCCCGAGUGCUUGCACUCAAUUGGAAAGAGGAGUGGCGGACGGGUGAGUAACACGUGGGUAACCUACCCAUCAGAGGGGGAUAACACUUGGAAACAGGUGCUAAUACCGCAUAACAGUUUAUGCCGCAUGGCAUAAGAGUGAAAGGCGCUUUCGGGUGUCGCUGAUGGAUGGACCCGCGGUGCAUUAGCUAGUUGGUGAGGUAACGGCUCACCAAGGCCACGAUGCAUAGCCGACCUGAGAGGGUGAUCGGCCACACUGGGACUGAGACACGGCCCAGACUCCUACGGGAGGCAGCAGUAGGGAAUCUUCGGCAAUGGACGAAA